UACGUAGGGAGCGAGCGUUGUCCGGAAUUACUGGGUGUAAAGGGUGCGUAGGCGGCCAGGCAAGUCAGACGUGAAAUACAUGGGCUUAACCCAUGGACUGCGUUUGAAACUGUCGGGCUUGAGUGAAGUAGAGGCAGGCGGAAUUCCCUGUGUAGCGGUGAAAUGCGUAGAGAUAGGGAGGAACACCAGUGGCGAAGGCGGCCUGCUGGGCUUUAACUGACGCUGAGGCACGAAAGCAUGGGUAGCAAAC
rnacentral:rRNA from 1 species